rnacentral:lncRNA from 10 species
AGAUUCUCCCCAGACGCCAAGGUUGCGGGUCAUGGAGUCCCGAACCCUCCUCCUGCUGUUCUCGGGAGCCGUGGCCCUGAUCCAGACCUGGGCAGAUUACAAUUACAAUCAAGGCAGAAAUGAUCUCAUUUUUACAUUACAACUCUGGAAAAGGCAAUAGACUGAGAUGCAAGUGUGCCCCCAAGUGAUGGGCAGAAGGAGAGAAGGUGUUUUGGAUGCAUUCUAGAACACAGGAAUGGUCCUGCUUUGGUGUCCCUGGUGUGACCCAUCACCCGCUGGGAACAGCCUGAGAGAAGUAGGGCCUCUGCACCAAUGCUGCUGAGGAUGUCAGAGCACAGGAACGAGGCCUUGGGAAAUUACCUGGAAAUGCGACUGAAAUCUUCCUUCCUGAGGGGUCUGGGCUCUUGGAAAUCAAACCCUCUCAGGUUGGGUGGCUGGACGAUUCUCCUCACACUUACAAUGGGAUCCCUGGGUUCCACACGAACUCCUCCUACCCUCAUUGUGUGACAGCAGCCAUGCCUCCUCCUGGGGAUCAGGAUCUAUUACCUGUGCCUGGAGAGGAGGGGACUCCUCUUCUCACCCGCUGGUCUCUGGACACAUACUGUCCAAUUCCCCUGUGGCAGCUGUAAUGUGUAGUUCAAUGGGCACUCAUUUGUCCCCUUUUAAGGGUACCCUCCUUUAGAAUCCAGGACCUUCUACCCUGCAGAGUGUGGUUUUGGGAGAGAAGUGCAAAAUCCCACGACAGGUGAGUUGAAGGAAUGGGAUAUGGAGCCACAUCCACUUCCACCCCUUGGUAUCUGGACCCACGUGUUCUUCCUACUGAGAUUACAGAACUGUAGAGAUGUCUUUGAUUUUUAAAAUGCACCAUGUCCUGAAAGAUGGCACCCUCCCACCCGCAGAGUGCUUCCUGCAAGCUGGCGUUGAGCUGUGCCUAUAGAAGCUCUUUUCAACAUUCUUUAUGGCCAGCAGCCCUUGGUUGGUGCAGAUGGUGAUAGGACCAGUGGGUCCCACAGCAUGGCCACACUGCACCUCCUUCGCUGUCAAGUGGGUCCCCCACGAAGAUACUGCACGGAGAGCAGUGCCAAGCCUGUGGAUCAGGAAUAUCAACAGCCCCCAGAGAGUGGUGCUGGCUGAGGGUCUGAGAGCAGGACAGGAAAACCCACCUAUGGAAUAGGUGCCUAUCCCUGUGAAGAUGAACCUCUGGCCCUUCCAGGAUGGAAGGAGUGCAAUGUAGUCAACUCCUCACUUAGGGUCUGGUUGGUCACCUAAAGAAAUAGAGCCCUACCAGGGAAGAUCAUUGGGUUCAAAUGCUGAUGAGUAGGACAUUUAGAGGUGGCAGUGUCUGGAUCUACCUUGGUAGGAGGGAGUCAGUACUGUUGGACCCAUAGGUAGCCUCAUCCCUGCCACUGUGUUUGCUCCAUUUAUGUACCCAUCCUACCCGGCCUGGGCUGACCCAUGGGGAAGGCUGGCUAAUUUCAGUGCUUCUGCUUGGUUGUUCAGGGCCAUUUCAGGUUUGGGUGUUUUCUGGGGAUGUUAACAUGGGAUUCAGGCUCAACUCACAAGAAACUUUUCCAUCUCAUGAUGGAUGCUGUUGGGCAUGUCCAAUGUAUGACUUCAUGAGUUACACAGAUGCUAAUUCGUAGGGGCACUUGGAAUCACAUGGUUGUUUUGUGUCCCAUGGUCAAGCAUUCUAUCUUAUCAGGGCCUACAGUAACAUGCCAAAAGUUGCUUCCAACAUAUUUCUCUGCUUUGGAUGGGGCAUAUUUCUGUGCUGUGGAUGACAUGGCCUUACUCCAGAAUCCCAGGCCCUCCACUGUGACUCUCCUACUGGUGCUUGGUUCAGCUCCACCCCAAAUCUUACCCCACCACUGGCACUUUCAGCACCAGGGGGUCUGAAGGAUGGUGACUGCGCCAUGGCCUGGAUCUGCUGCAGUGUCCUUUCCUGUGGAGGCUCCACUCAAAGCUGGCAUCCUCCUAUGUCACCUAGAGUGUGGGUCAAAGCAAUACACCUACAUGUAGAAUGUGAUGUCAGAACUCAAACAGGCUCACCAGGCAGUGUGCUUCCUUCCUUGCAUGAGGAUGCAAGAUGCAACAGUUUGUCUUUCACAUUGGAAGGGACACCCCUGGAUGCCCCUAACCACUAGACCUGUAAAACUUCACUGCAGUGGCCACUUCUGAAUCUCUGUAAGGUUUAUUUAUCUUCACCCUCUGGAGAGAAGAUGUUUUACCAAAGCCUCUAGUGUACCUUCCUCCUCUUACUCAUCCAUCCCAGUCAACAUGAUGUUGUCAAUGAAAUAAAGGAAUUUAAUAUUCUAUAGUAUAUCCAGGUUCUCCAGAUCUCUUAAGACUGUACUAUAGAGGCCUGGGGAAUUAUAAUAGCCCUGAGGCAAACUAUGAAUUAAAGUGUUGUGGAUCCCACAUGAA